AAAUUGAAGAGUUUGAUCAUGGCUCAGAUUGAACGCUGGCGGCAGGCCUAACACAUGCAAGUCGAACGGUAACAGGAGCAGCUUGCUGCUCGGGUGACGAGUGGCGGACGGGUGAGUAAUGUCUGGGAAACUGCCUGAUGGAGGGGGAUAACUACUGGAAACGGUGGCUAAUACCGCAUAACGUCGCAAGACCAAAGAGGGGGACCUUCGGGCCUCUUG
rnacentral:rRNA from 1 species